UAAGCGUACACGGUGGAUGCCCUGGCAGUCAGAGGCGAUGAAGGGCGUGCUAAUCUGCGAUAAGCGCCGGUAAGGUGAUAUGAACCGUUAUAACCGGCGAUACCCGAAUGGGGAAACCCAGUGUGACUCGUCACACUAUCAUUAACUGAAUCCAUAGGUUAAUGAGGCGAACCGGGGGAACUGAAACAUCUAAGUACCCCGAGGAAAAGAAAUCAACCGAGAUUCCCCCAGUAGCGGCGAGCGAACGGGGAGGAGCCCAGAGCCUGAAUCAGCAUGUGUGUUAGUGGAAGCGUCUGGAAAGGCGCGCGAUACAGGGUGACAGCCCCGUACACAAAAGCGCAUGUGCUGUGAGCUCGAUGAGUAGGGCGGGACACGUGGUAUCCUGUCUGAAUAUGGGGGGACCAUCCUCCAAGGCUAAAUACUCCUGACUGACCGAUAGUGAACCAGUACCGUGAGGGAAAGGCGAAAAGAACCCCGGCGAGGGGAGUGAAAAAGAACCUGAAACCGUGUACGUACAAGCAGUGGGAGCACAGGUUUACCUGUGUGACUGCGUACCUUUUGUAUAAUGGGUCAGCGACUUAUAUUCUGUAGCAAGGUUAACCGAAUAGGGGAGCCGGAGGGAAACCGAGUCUUAAUUGGGCGUUAAGUUGCAGGGUAUAGACCCGAAACCCGGUGAUCUAGCCAUGGGCAGGUUGAAGGUUGGGUAACACUAACUGGAGGACCGAACCGACUAAUGUUGAAAAAUUAGCGGAUGACCUGUGGCUGGGGGUGAAAGGCCAAUCAAACCGGGAGAUAGCUGGUUCUCCCCGAAAGCUAUUUAGGUAGCGCCUCGUGAAUUCAUCUCCGGGGGUAGAGCACUGUUUCGGCUAGGGGGCCAUCCCGGCUUACCAACCCGAUGCAAACUGCGAAUACCGGAGAAUGUUAUCACGGGAGACACACGGCGGGUGCUAACGUCCGUCGUGAAGAGGGAAACAACCCAGACCGCCAGCUAAGGUCCCAAAGUCAUGGUUAAGUGGGAAACGAUGUGGGAAGGCCCAGACAGCCAGGAUGUUGGCUUAGAAGCAGCCAUCAUUUAAAGAAAGCGUAAUAGCUCACUGGUCGAGUCGGCCUGCGCGGAAGAUGUAACGGGGCUAAACCAUGCACCGAAGCUGCGGCAGCGA
rnacentral:rRNA from 1 species